UACGUAGGGGGCAAGCGUUGUCCGGAAUCAUUGGGCGUAAAGCGCGCGUAGGCGGCCCGGUAAGUCCGCUGUAAAAGUCCAGGGCUCAACCCUGGGAUGCCGAUCGAUACUGCCGGACUAGAGUCCGGAAGAGGCGAGUGGAAUUCCCGGUGUAGCGGUGAAAUGCGCAGAUAUCGGGAGGAACACCAAUGGCGAAGGCAGCUCGCUGGGACGGUACUGACGCUGAGACGCGAAAGCGUGGGGAGCAAACAGGG
rnacentral:rRNA from 1 species